rnacentral:rRNA from 1 species
AGUGAACGCUGGCGGUAGGCCUAACACAUGCAAGUCGAACGGCAGCACAGUAAGAGCUUGCUCUUACGGGUGGCGAGUGGCGGACGGGUGAGGAAUACAUCGGAAUCUACUUUUUCGUGGGGGAUAACGUAGGGAAACUUACGCUAAUACCGCAUACGACCUACGGGUGAAAGCAGGGGAUCUUCGGACCUUGCGCGAUUGAAUGAGCCGAUGUCGGAUUAGCUAGUUGGCGGGGUAAAGGACCACCAAGGCGACGAUCCGUAGCUGGUCUGAGAGGAUGAUCAGCCACACUGGAACGGAGACACGGUCCAGACUCCUACGGGAGGCAGCAGUGGGGAAUAUUGGACAAUGGGCGCAAGCCUGAUCCAGCCAUACCGCGUGGGUGAAGAAGGCCUUCGGGUUGUAAAGCCCUUUUGUUGGGAAAGAAAAUCAGCAGGUUAAUACCCCGCUGUUCUGACGGUACCCAAAGAAUAAGCACCGGCUAACUUCGUG